rnacentral:lncRNA from 1 species
UUCUGGUUGCUGCUAGUCCUGCACUGGAGAGUUCACAAGGGUGGCUACGUAAGAGGAAGCUCAACUGUUAAACUGCCACAACAUGAGGGAUGGCUCAAAAAUUAAACUCACAAGCCUACGGAGCUUCACUUGGUUUUAGAGAUCUGCUGCAGUUAGGAAGGCUCAGAAAGGUCAAAUGGCACAGGAUAAGUAUAAACCCAGCUCCCCAGUCACACUUGCCCAUUUCAAUCCAUCUGACAGGGGCAGAGGAAGAAAAUCCGCCUUACUCUAUGUCUUUGCAACAGGAGAGAGGGGCAAGCUAAUGCAGUUCACCUGUUCUGCUCUUCUGGCAGGAGGAAAAGGGAACAAGAAAAAGCACAAGAACACGUACAUGCUGAGUGGAGGAUUUGCAGAAUAGCUGAAGACCUGAUCUUCCUUGUUAUUUUUUAUUGAGAAUAAGAACAUAUCAAGCAUUAAACAAAAGUGUAUUUAGAAAUAUGACUUGUAGCAAAUUUCUAUAUUUUCUAAGAUUCUGAUCGUGAAAUCUCUGGAUAUGAUUUCAUAUAAAGGUUUGAUAAGAAAUCCCAUGCUAUUGGAUACAAGUUUCACAGCACUAAUUUGGGCACCUCAUACAUGACUCCUACUUUUGGAUUAAUGAAUACUGUUGACUGUGUGCUUGAUAACCUGCUCCACUGAACAAUUUUCUGGUGUACCAUGCAAGUACAGAAAGUACAAUACUAAUUAGCUGCUUUGCCCAUCUACUUAAAACGUUUUGCACAUGCCAGCAAAUGUAAAUACACAAUUAGGGCAUAUUUACUUAAAAGACAAAGCAAGACAAAGUACAACUAUUAUUAGCCAGAAAAAAAACCUUCACAAUCUUCAUCCAUAUUGAGGUCUAAUUAAGUUGCAAAAUGUGUAAAUCAGCUCAGG